CUGAAAAUACCAAUGAGGUUUUGGCUCGUUUAAUGAUAGCGAACGCAGACCACCCACCUCACUGCCUCACACACGUUGCAAUAUUGUGAGCGGUAACGCAAUCCCAGCCUUGUCUAUUGGCGUCCAGUCCGAGCCGUCCGAUCUAUUAGACCGUCCGUGGUCCGGUGGUCUAUCUCUUCCCGAGCGGGACUGGGGAUAAACACGGAGGAGAAGGAAGAGGUGAUCUGUAUACCAAACACUCGAGACGGCUCUCGUGUUGUAUACACCGACGGGAAUGUCCUCCAUUGAAAUGGCCACCCCGGUGAGGAACGGAAGAUGAAUGAAUAAAUGUGAUUUUUGGAAGCCAUGUUGGAUAUUUACAUUGAAUGAAUCAUCAUACUGAUGGCGCCGAUCAGUCUGUCGAUAACGAAGAAGCUGCACGCGCCCCUUUACGUCGCCAAUGGGUGAGCACGAGCGCCAAUUUGCAGUGCAGCACAACCUGUGAAGGACCUGGAAGACCAUGACCCAAAAACACACCGAUGUGGGCGACGGAUAGACGUCCGGUCCCUGUCCGCCUUCUACUUCAAUUCCAAACUCUCCAGAAGGACCAAAGCGACACAACCCUUGUCAUCUUCUCCGAGGAUCCGCGACUUUUGCGAGCCACGGUCAAAACCCAAAAGGUAACGUGGACUUUUUACAGUGCAGAGUCCAAACGGGGAUCUUGGGGGACACCAUGAAGGCACCAAACUAAUUGAAGCGCAAAUAUACAAAAGAUAUAAAUAAGAAUGUAAGCCGUAGUACUGCGUGUAGCGAUGCCACUCCUUGUGGUAUUUUGCUGACACUGGAAAUGUUUUUAUUUUUUUAUGAUGCCCACGUCCUAAUCUCGGCCAUUUUGUCCGGAUUUAAAAGCUCCCCAGACUGAUACUUUCAUACCUCGUCGUCUUCUGCCGAGGGCGGGAAUGUUUUCGGAAACCAGUCGCAAGUCGGCUGGACCCAGAAAGAUAGA